AGCGAACGCUGGCGGCAGGCUUAACACAUGCAAGUCGAACGCCCCGCAAGGGGAGUGGCAGACGGGUGAGUAACACGUGGGGAUCUGCCCAAUGGUACGGAAUAACUCAGGGAAACUUGUGCUAAUACCGUAUGUGCCCGCAAGGGGAAAGAUUUAUCGCCAUUGGAUGAACCCGCGUCGGAUUAGCUAGUUGGUGUGGUAAAGGCGCACCAAGGCGACGAUCCGUAGCUGGUCUGUGAGGAUGAUCAGCCACACUGGGACUGAGACACGGCCCAGACUCCUACGGGAGGCAGCAGUGGGGAAUAUUGGACAAUGGGCGCAAGCCUGAUCCAGCCAUGCCGCGUGAGUGAUGAAGGCCUUAGGGUUGUAAAGCUCUUUCGCCGACGAAGAUAAUGACGGUAGUCGGAGAAGAAGCCCCGGCUAACUUCGUGCCAGCCGCCGCCGUAACAC
rnacentral:rRNA from 1 species